rnacentral:rRNA from 1 species
AACGAACGCUGGCGGCAUGCCUAACACAUGCAAGUCGAACGAGACCUUCGGGUCUAGUGGCGCACGGGUGAGUAACGCGUGGGAACCUGCCCUUAGGUUCGGAAUAACUCCCCGAAAGGGGUGCUAAUACCGGAUAAUGUCUUCGGACCAAAGAUUUAUCGCCUUUGGAUGGGCCCGCGUUGGAUUAGCUAGUUGGUAGGGUAAAAGCCUACCAAGGCGACGAUCCAUAGCUGGUCUGAGAGGAUGAUCAGCCACACUGGGACUGAGACACGGCCCAGACUCCUACGGGAGGCAGCAGUGGGGAAUAUUGGACAGUGGGCGAAAGCCUGAUCCAGCAAUGCCGCGUGAGUGAUGAAGGCCUUAGGGUUGUAAAGCUCUUUUACCCGGGAUGAUAAUGACAUUACCGGGAGAAUAAGCUCCGGCUAACUCCGUG